GUGCUCGCCGUCCCAGGCGUGACCGCGGAGGGCGGGCGGAUGUGGUGGGCGGGAGCAGAGAAUGUGAAGCUCCCGGCGCAUGGCACCCGCCGCCCAGUCGCCGCGGUGGCUGCCGGGAUGCGCCGCAGCGAAUGGUCGCGCCGGGCCGCCGCUCUAACUGACCUUUCACCCGCGCCCAGCGGUCCCGGGCGGCGGCACAAGGCGGAAGCCAUGGCGGAGGCGGCGGCUGCAGCUGGCGGGACGGGCGUGGGCACAGGCUGCUGUUCUGCAGCGGACCGGGACCGAGACCCGGACCCGGAUCGAGACCGUGCCAGGCGGAGGCUCCGGGUUCUCUCCGGUCAUCUGCUGGGCCGGCCCCAGGAGGCUGUGAGUACCAAUGAGUGCAAAGCGCGGAGAGCCGCGUCGGCGGCCACGGCGGCUCCCACUGCCACUCCCGCCGCGCAGGAGUCGGGCACCAUCCCCAAGAAACGGCAAGAAGUUAUGAAAUGGAAUGGAUGGGGAUAUAAUGAUUCUAAGUUCUUCUUCAAUAAGAAAGGCCAAGUUGAGUUGACUGGGAAAAGGUACCCUCUUAGUGGCAUGACUUUACCAACUUUUAGAGACUGGAUCCAAAAUACCCUUGGAGUAAGCCUGGAGCAUAAAACUACCUCUAAAGCAUCCUUAAAUCCUAGUGAUACACCUCCUUCUAUUGUAAAUGAAGAUUUUCUUCAUGACCUUAAAGAAACUAAUAUUUCAUAUUCACAAGAAGCAGAUGAUCGAGUAUUUAGAGCUCAUGGUCAUUGUCUUCAUGAGAUAUUUUUGCUCAGGGAAGGAAUGUUUCAGCGAAUUCCUGAUAUAGUUUUAUGGCCAACAUGUCAUGAUGAUGUAGUUAAGAUUGUGAAUCUAGCGUGCAAAUAUAACCUUUGUAUCAUACCAAUUGGUGGAGGAACAAGUGUAUCAUACGGCUUAAUGUGUCCUGCAGAUGAGACAAGAACAAUUAUUUCUUUGGACACUUCACAAAUGAAUCGAAUCCUCUGGGUUGAUGAGAACAAUCUGACAGCUCAUGUAGAGGCUGGUAUAACAGGACAGGAGUUGGAAAGACAGCUUAAAGAAAGUGGUUAUUGUACAGGUCAUGAACCGGAUUCCCUGGAAUUCAGCACUGUGGGAGGAUGGGUAUCUACUCGGGCAUCGGGCAUGAAAAAGAAUAUCUAUGGCAAUAUUGAGGACCUGGUGGUUCAUAUAAAAAUGGUAACACCUAGAGGUAUAAUAGAAAAAAGCUGUCAAGGACCUCGUAUGUCAACAGGCCCUGAUAUCCAUCACUUCAUCAUGGGAUCUGAAGGAACUCUUGGUGUGAUAACAGAAGCUACAAUAAAAAUCAGACCAAUCCCUGAAUACCAAAAGUAUGGCUCAGUAGCUUUCCCUAAUUUUGAACAAGGAGUAGCCUGUUUAAGAGAAAUUGCAAAACAGAGAUGUGCUCCUGCAUCUAUUCGCCUCAUGGACAACCAACAGUUUCAGUUUGGUCAUGCUCUUAAACCUCAGGUUUCCUCUAUUUUUACAUCAUUUUUGGAUGGCUUAAAAAAGUUUUAUAUUACAAAGUUUAAAGGAUUUGAUCCAAAUCAGUUAACUGUUGCUACAUUACUGUUUGAGGGGGACCGUGAGAAGGUUCUUCAACAUGAAAAACAAGUGUAUGACAUUGCUGCAAAAUUUGGUGGGUUGGCAAUCGGAGAAGAUAAUGGACAGAGAGGUUAUUUGCUGACCUAUGUCAUUGCGUAUAUUCGAGACUUGGGUUUGGAAUACUAUGUAUUAGGAGAGUCUUUUGAGACUUCUGCUCCUUGGGACAGGGUUGUGGAUCUCUGUAGAAAUGUAAAAGAACGAAUAACAAGGGAAUGCAAAGAGAAGGGUGUUCAGUUUGCUCCUCUUUCUACAUGCAGGGUGACGCAGACUUAUGAUGCAGGUGCAUGUAUCUAUUUCUACUUUGCCUUUAACUACAGGGGAAUAAGUGACCCACUGACUGUGUUUGAACAAACUGAGGCAGCUGCUAGAGAAGAAAUCCUUGCUAAUGGAGGGAGCCUCUCACAUCACCACGGAGAUGGGACCGGAUGAGGAGCCUUCUACUGCAUGAGUACUGACAAAAGGACAAACUCCACCCAUUUCAGAGGAAUUGAGGGGGACUCUGGGCCACUCAAGAUUUCCAGAGAAAGCAGCUGAGGAAGACCAGUAUAACCCUACUCAAAGACUUCUUCCAACCCAAUCUCUGGCUGCAGUCUUUUCUGGUCUUCAGCUAAAGCCACACACUUAUUUCAGGGCCACAUCUACCACCAAACUGCUGGGAACCACCAUUUGGGCCUGGAUGUCUUUUGUUAUAGAGGGAACCAUAUUGAUGAACUGUGUUUGUCAGAAAAUGCAGAGCUUUUCUUCCAAUAUUAGCAAAUGAUUGUAGUUUUUCUUAUUCUGCACCCACACGGCGUGCCCCAGUCUUCGGUUUUAUCCAGCACAGAACAAUUUGGGUACCAGCCCCAAAGAGGACUCCCAACAGUGUGUAUAAGGACUUCAGUUCCUGAAAUUGCUCAUGAAAGGCCUUGGUCAGAAUUUUGGUGGCAAUAGAAAUACUUGAACAUUAAUCCAUCAGCUGUCUUCUAGAUCACCAGACUAAUAUAUAUUCUCCUUUCCAUAUAUGAAGUGCAUAAACCCUAGGACAUGGCUUUGUCAAAUUUGGAGUAACUAAGACCAAGAGGUUGAGUCUUCACAGAAUAAUAAUAGCCUCUGACCUUAUGCAGCACAGACAGAAACACCAACCAGCCAGUAAUUUCCUGAGAAAAAGGUAACGACUACUGCAAGUGUACAAAUAAAGCUCAUUGCGUUCUGCAAAUUAUACAGAUCCAGUGUUUUUGCGCUGUGAACUUCCGAGUGGGACCAGAAAAGGAACUUGCCACUACAUGGAUACCAAGAAAGGAACAAACUGCGCACGUUUCAGAGUGUUGAGUGGGCCUCUGGUCCACCUAAGAUACCCUGAGAACAUAGCCAAUGAGGAUCACUCUAAUUCUCCUCUAACACUUCUUCAACCCAAUGUCUUGGUGCACCCUUUUAGGGCCUUCAACUCAGCAGGUGCAAAACCCAAGACCUGGAGGGUCCCAAGAGAACAGGUCAAACUGGUGGCCAAGUCGGGGGCCAGGGCCCGUCUACUGUGCAUCCUGUGGUGACCUUUGUAGUUUGCACGUGAUCUCUCCUGGCCAGUAUCAUAAGCUACAUUGUGGGUUGUGCAUGUGUUGUCUACAUAUCGACUACAAAGAAAAUAAAUAACAUGUCUGAAAAAACA